rnacentral:rRNA from 1 species
GAUGAACGCUGGCGGCGUGCCUAAUACAUGCAAGUCGAGCGAACAGACGAGGAGCUUGCUCCUCUGACGUUAGCGGCGGACGGGUGAGUAACACGUGGAUAACCUACCUAUAAGACUGGGAUAACUUCGGGAAACCGGCGCUAAUACCGGAUAAUAUAUUGAACCGCAUGGUUCAAUAGUGAAAGACGGUUUUGCUGUCACUUCUAGAUGGAUCCGCGCCGCAUUAGCUAGUUGGUAAGGUAACGGCUUACCAAGGCAACGAUGCGUAGCCGACCUGAGAGGGUGAUAGGCCACACGGGAACUGAGACACGGUCCAGACUCCUACGGGAGGCAGCAGUAGGGAAUCUUCCGCAAUGGGCGAAAGCAUGACGGAGCAACGCCGCGUGAGUGAUGAAGGUCUUCGGAUCGUAAAACUCUGUUAUUAGGGAAGAACAAAUGUGUAAGUAACUAUGCACGUCUUGACGGUACCUAAUAAGAAAGCAACGGCUAACUACGUG